AUGUGUCAUUCUGAAGCUUCACAGGCAUCAUUUUUCUCUUCCAGGAAGAUGCUUGCCUUGCUCAGUGUCCUCCUGCUCUCAUCACAUGUCCUUCCUCUCGUCCAGUCACUGCAGUGCGAUGAAAGAACAGAGUACUUGAAAGACAAUCGGUGCUGCAAAAAAUGUAAACCAGGAGAGCUUAUGAUAGAGAAAUGUGAACAAGGAAUUUCUGAUACUCAGUGCGACGCAUGUGGAGAUGGCUUCUUCAUGGACGACUAUAAUAUCAAUUACCACUGGUGCAAACAUUGCACAACGUGCACCAAGGAACAUAUGAAGAAUAUGAAGAACUGUACGGCGACAAGUGAUGCAGUGUGUACAUGUGAGGAGGGCUACAGAUGCAGUGACAGCAAAUGCCAGACGUGUGAGAAAAUUCAGACAACUACUGUUACUACUCCUCCUUCCACUCAAACAAUACCGCCCACCCAUGAUAAUGUGUGGAUCUCGGUGAGUCUGUGUUUUGCAUGUGUGUGUGUGUGCGCUCUGCUCACCUGUUUCCUUCUCAUCAGCAGACAUGCACGACCAUGUGGACGGAUCAUGUCAACAUCAGUCGGUCAGUGCCACUAUAAACAACACAUCAAUGUUUUAAUUCACAAAGAAAAACUGCUCUUUAUACACUUGCGUGAGUGCUUGAUAUACUGACACUCCAUUGCAUGAAUAGUUUUAGUAUAUCUACCUGUAGAAUCUAGUACGGUAGUUUAAGUUGUGUUUUGGUCAUUCCUGUUUUGCAGUACAUUUUGAAUGAAUUAAACUGACACUGGUCAAGCUCAGACACUUUUUAACUGAAUUAAAUUAAAUGUAAACUUUAAUAUUAAAAUCAGAUUUAACCCCAAUCAUUUUCUUAAUAAUAUAAUAUAAUAUAAUAUAAUAUAAUAUAAUAUAAUAUAAUAUAAUAUAAUAUAAUAUAAUAUAAUAUAAUAUAAUAUUUA
rnacentral:lncRNA from 12 species